CAGAAAGUAUCAGUAGCACUGUACGCGUCCAAAGAUGCAAACAGUUUAGGGGAAGGAAGUGAAGAUGAAACCAUUGCAGAUAGCCGGGAGGGUGCAAGUGUGCAUAGGUUACGUCGAAAGAUGACAUGUGGAGGGGUUAGCUUCGCCAGUGUGUGUUGUGAUUGGCUCCCCUCGGCACCUGUCAGGAAAGUCACACCCCUUACCACAGCCGCCUGCUUCAGUCUCAACCGGGUCUCAUCCCAUUCGUCAUUAUUUGUGACAUUACAAAUCCCGGAAAAUAUGGGUUGUAGUCCAAACAGCAACAUUACAGACUAACUAAAGUUGAAAAAGUGAAAAAGCAUAAUAGGACCCCCUUAAUGUAUGCUUUAUAAAAGCCUCCCUCUAUUUCUCUCUCACACAUGGACACACAGAGUGGUGCAACUGAGAAUAUUGCCUGUUUUUCCUGCAAUUUCCAAUUCAAGGACGUUGGGAAGAAGUUCUCGAGGUCAGCGAGAGAGUGAGUGUGUGUACCAAACAGACUAAUCAGAGCAGCAUCCCCUCAGAAAAACUACAUGCACAGGUGCUGCACACACACACACACACACACACACACUCACGGCCCAGAGACUUUGCUGCUCUUUUUACCCACACUGCACCUACUGCAAACAAAUCAGGUGAGAGUUGUACAAAGUAGAGGGAAGACAGGCCCCGAGACCUCAUGGACUCAAGGUGUGUGUGUGUGUGUGUGUGUGUGUGUGUGUGUGUGUGUGUGUGUGUGUGUGUGUGUGUGUGUGUGUGUGUGUGUGUGUGUGACACUGAAGCCGGACUCACGCUCAUGUCGGACGCCGCUGAUCUUGCGGUCAUCAUUUAUUCAUGCUGAGCGAGGCUGAGCGGUUGCUGUUGCUCGCUGCUGAAACCCGUGGCUCAACAUUCAACAACUUUACUCAAAUUGUGCCUGAUCUGCCCAUUUAAUAAUGCAUCGCUUGGUUUUUUGUUAUGUUAAAAAGCUGCUUUUGGCUCUGUUUGCAGGACCGUAAUGCCGUGUGACACUCGCUCCCUACAGUCCCGCCUGUGGCCCGGAGACAGGAACACCGCUCCAGUGAUUGACAAGGACAAAAAGAGGUGUGAUCCCAUUUAGGAUUCUGAAUCGUCAACCGCAGCAAUGGGAGACGGGAAUGACAGCUGGGACUGUAACUUUGAGCGUGAGAGGUAAGGACUUCAACGAGACGAUCGUGAUCACAAUCCAGGAAUGCGAUCAAGGCAAGAAAAUCUUGUGGUGAGGAUUUUAAUUAUUUAUCAGGACACUGUGUUCUGUUCUUACGAGGAAAGUGUUAAAGCACCAAACUCUCAUUUCUAUACACACGUUUCCUUAUUGGCUUUAGCUUUCAUACGCUCAAAAGUGCAAACAUUGACAUUUUAGCUCACCAGCAGAUUUAAAUGUUUACCUUCCCAACAAUUCAGAAAUCAAACUAGUCAAAACAAAACAUGAGAAAUAAACCAGAUUAUUAAACUUCUUUGAUUGAAAUAUAUUUAUUAAUAAUUCUGCAUCACUGAAUCACUUUGUUUUACUGCAGUCAAUGGUUGUUUGCAGACACCGUAAAACUAAAAUAAAAAUAAAUGAAAAACAAAUUCUCUGAGACUUCUUAUAGCAAAAAUUAUUAUUAUUAUUUAUUUUUUUGUAAUUUCCUAAUAUUGUUCACUUGAAAGAUUAGCAGAUGGUCUGUCCAUCGCACAUGUUUUAUUCUGUACUCAUGGGAUGAAC